AAGCCAUGCACGUAUAAGUUCAGCUCCAAGGAAUAGCGAAACCGCGAAUGGGCUCAGUAAAUCAGUCAUGAUUUAUUUGAUAUUUCGUUUCUAAUUGGAUAACUGUGGUAACUCUAGAGUUAAUACAUGCCAUGCCCCACGUCUCUUCGAAAGAUUAGCCGGGGAGCUUUUAUUAGUUCAAGUCCAUUAGCCUUUUGUCGACCUAGACUCUUGUGCUGGCUUGGUGAACUCUAGUUAACUGCAGGAUCGACAACCUAUUAAACCAGCGUUGUCGACGUGUCAUUCAAGUGUCUGCCCUAUCAAGUUUUGAUGGUAGUGUACCGGACUACCAUGCUUAUUACGGGUGACGGGGAAUCAGGGUUCGAUUCCGGAGAGGGAGCCUGAGAAACGGCUACCACAUCUAAGGAAGGCAGCAGGCGCGCAAAUUACCCAAUCUCAGCACGAGGAGGUAGUGACGAAAAAUAACAAUACGGGGCCAAUUGGUUCCGUCAUUGGAUUGAGCAUAAUUUAAAUACUUAUGCGAUAUCUAGUAGAGGGCAAGUCUGGUGCCAGCAGCCGCGGUAAUUCCAGCUCUACAAGCGUAUACUCACGAUGCUGCGGUUAAAAAGCUCGUAGUUUGAUCUGUAGCAGGGCCCCGGUGAUACUUUUACAAGUGGUACCGGUGAAUUAUAGCACUGCUCCCCCUCCACUUGAGGGUAUUUGCACUUCACUGUGUGAGUAUCUGAUAAGGAGUUACAUACUUUGAAAAAAUUAGAGUGUUCAAAGCAGGUAUACGUGUAUACUGAAGCAUGGGAUAGUAGAGUAGGGCCGCGCCCUAAUUUUACUGGUCUCUGGUGUGCGGAAAUGAUUAAAAGGGACAGGCGGGGGCAUUCGUAUUGUCACGAGGUGAAAUUCUUGGAUCGUCGCAAGCGACUAAAAUGUUUUCAUUAUCAAGAACGAAAGUUAGAGGAUUGAAGAGGAUCAGAUACCCUCGUAGUUCUAACCAUAAACUAUGCCGACUUGCUGUCAGUCGAUAUUCUAUAAGAUACGGCUGGCGGCUACCGGGAAACCAAAGUGUUUGGGUUCCGGGGGAAGUAUGGUUGCAAAACUGAAACUUAAAGGAAUUGACGGAAGGGCACCACCAGGAGUGGAGCCUGCGGCUUAAUUUGACUCAACACGGGAAAACUCACCAGGUCCAGACAUAGUAAGGAUUGACAGACUGAAGCUCUAUCUUGAUCCUAUGGUUGGUGGUGCAUGGCCGUUCUUAGUUGGUGGAGUGAUUUGUCAGGUUAAUUCUGAUAACGAACGAGACCCCACCCUGCUAACUAGUGAUGUUAACUAUCGGUUAAUUGACGCUUCUUAGAGGGACAGGGUUCUUUAAGGAUCAGGAAGAGGGGUCAUAACAGGUCUGUGAUGCCCUUAGACGUCCUGGGCUGCACGCGCGCUACACUGGGUGCAUCAACGUGUUUGAUUGCCUAGUCCGAAAAGGUCCAGGCAAUCAUUAAAUGCACCCGUGAUUGGGAUAGAUUUUUGUUAGUAUGARGUCUUGAACGAGGAAUUCCUAGUAAGCGCAAGUCAUUAGCUUGCGUUGAUUACGUCCCUGCCCUUUGUACACACCGCCCGUCGCUACUACCGAUUGGAUGUUUAAGCAAGCAACUCUAAAUCUGCCAUGUUGCUGUCUCCGACAGUGGUGUGUUGGAAGAAAUACCGCUAGCUUUGAUAUCUAGAGGAAGUAAAAAGUCGUAACAAGGAUYYC
rnacentral:rRNA from 1 species